rnacentral:rRNA from 1 species
GGAAUUUCCGCAUGGGCGAAAGCCUGACGGAGCAACGCCGCGUGAGGGAUGAAGGCCUCUGGGCUGUAAACCUCUUUUAUCAAGGAAGAAGAUCUGACGGUACUUGAUGAAUAAGCCACGGCUAAUUCCGUGCCAGCAGCCGCGGUAAUA